UAAUCGCCGUUUAGCGGAACUGUAUAUGCUUUGUUGAAUCUAGUGACAAUAUUUAACUAUAUAGUGAAAGACAAGACGAAUCAGUGUUUAUAGCAGAGAUGAUCCCUCAGAUCGCUACAUCUUCUCACUCCAAUGACUCUGUUUGUAAAGUCUGUUUCCAUUUCGAAUUGUGUGCCGUGUUGUCCCAUACCUAGCUUGGGACUUGUCUGUCGGAAAAUAGUUUCAGUAUAUUCUCAUGGGUAAUGCGCGCACCGGUGGGUAAUAAAAGGCGAAUUAAACAGCCUGUAGUCGAACGCCAUAGAUAAGCACCAGAAUAUUCCCUUUGUUUCACAAACUAAUUGUUGCUGAUAAUAAAAGAGAAGAGAAUACAAGGUUAUUGUUGAUGAAAGUCGUGCAGCUGGGAUAGUCCACUGUCAAUGAAAAUCACAAAUCGUUCUCCAGAGAGAUGUAACGCGAUCACAAAAAUGACAAGGACUUUCUUUUUCGGUAUCCUCAAUAUGACAACUGAUCUGUUCCUCAUCCUCAUUGAAGAGGUCACGUGGCAUCGGUUCAAAGAUUGAUUCUAAAAUGUUUGUAGAAUUCCCUGGUGGCGAGCUUCAGAAGACGGCUAGAUGUUAAUAUUUGAAAUGAAAAUCCAUCUAACAUCUUAGGUCUCAUGGAAUCGUUGCUUCUCCUCCAUCAUUUUGACGCCCAACUCUGUGUUUUCUACUUAUCUUUAUCACGGACUGUGCAGUCGUAAUGGAGAUAGUUACCGGAAUGGCGAGCAGAACAACACUCUUUAAGGUUUAUGAAGCAGAAAGAUAAGUUCGUGUAUUCCGUACAAACUUGAACAAGGAAGAUACAAGCAAGUAUCGACUGACGCUGGUAAUAAAGGAGACCAACUAUAAGCUAGCCUGUUCUCCCGGAAGAAAUUGCUUUAUUGCAGAUUACUCUACUUUCUCCUUCUUCCCUUUCCCGUCUUUUCUACUGAUUUCAUUUCCACUUUUUGGUUUUCUUUUGAUGCGGAUGAUUUGGUCUCGUUAUUCUAAUCGUUUUGUGCUAGUUACCAUAACAGUAAAAGUUCUUAUUUCUGAGUGUUUACGUAUAAAUCGUACUAGCUACCAUGUCAGUAAAACUUUUUUAUUUCUGAGUGUUUACGUAUAAAUCGUGCUGGUUACCAUGUCAGUAAAAGUUCUUAUUUGUGAGUGUAUACUUGUAAAUCGUGCUAGUUAACAUGACAGUAAAAGUUCUUAUUUAUUAAUGUAUACAUAUAAAUCGUGCUACCUACCGAGCCAGCAAAAGUUCUUACAAAAAGUUAUUUUUCUAAAUUGAAUUAUGCCAAUCAGAUUUUGAAAAUAAAGCGCAAUGGUUGCUUUAAUUUAAGAACGUUCUCUCCGUGUAUAAGCACGCCAUGGUAUAAAACUUAGAGCAAGUUUAGUGAAAA